AUCCAACAAUAUCUAGGAGAAUGAUAGAAAGAGAAUCCAACAAGAUAUGGAAAAGUCGUACAUGAAAGAAUUUGAAAUGGUGAAGACACGCCAG